rnacentral:lncRNA from 1 species
GGCAGGAAGGCCCUAGAGGCCCAGAGGGAACCAGCCUGAUGAGGCCGUGAUUUCAGACUGUCGGCCCAGGAAGGGGCCCAAGCCGUGGCCCACCCCACCAUCCAGUCUUCUUGGACCCACCUUGGUCCCUCUGCCCGAUGGUGAUGUCCUAAGCAGCCAGUCUGGCCUCUACUCUGCCUUCAUGGGUGCUUCAUGUAGGUCUUCCUGGCACCUCCCGGGAUGUGACUCUUCUCACCAUGGCCAUCAUGUCCCUCCUGGUCUCCUCCUAUGCCUUCUGUGAGCCCACCUGUGCUAUGCUGCUGGCCUUCCUGUGGGGCUGUGUGCAGUGAGCCCUGGGGCUCCUGCUCUCAGCCGGGGUUCCUGCUGGACGUCAUCUCCUGCCCCGUCAAUCAUUAAAGUUUUCACCUCCACUGCUACCGUCACCAUCGGCUUCGGGCAGAUCAGGGUGGUCUUGCUGUUGGCACCAGGGCACCUGCUGGCAUCAAGAAUGCUCCUUGAUACAAUCCACCAGCACCUUAGGUUCCUUGGCCCUGGUGAGCGGUGUGUGCCCAGGGGUGUGUAUUGUGGUCGGUGAUGGUCAUGUGAACUGAAGGGGGACAAAGAUUGGUACCAAGAACAGGUGCACAGCUUUUUAACAAAUCCAAAAUGUCUGUGUCUUUGUAUUUGCUCACUCGUGGAAGGCACA